UCCAGUGGUGCUGAUCCAGGAUGUUCUAAAAUUAAAUAACAAAGAGUGCACAGCUACCUGGGUUUAUUUUAUGGAGUCUAAGAGCUGUUGCCAUUUUUAAAAUUUUGCUCUGUUUGUGUGCUGUGAUUUUCAGAACUGAAAGGAGGGAGAGAAAUAAUAAGGGAGAAAGGCAAGGGAGGAGAAACAGCUGAGCAGACCCCAAAACCACAGCACACUGAUCCCCCUGAGCUGUUCCUCUGCCUUUUGGGGAUUCCUGGUGGGGAUUAAAGCUGGGACUGCCACCAGUGCCCCCCAGCCCUUCCCUGGAUGGAAAUUCCAAACUCAGGGUGUGUUCCCCACGUUGGCUUUGCCCAUGGAAACCUCUCCAUGGCUGGGGCACCUGCCCUGUGCCCAGGCGGCCCUGGCAGGGUGGCCAUGGUGACAGGGAACACACAAAGCUGCCAGGCAGGGGCUGACCUGGGGACACUCCGAGCCAGGAGCCCCAGGGGGAAAGAUGGGACAAGAUGGGAGCAUCCCCAGAGGAAUUCUGCCACACCUUGGGGAAGGGAAAAGUGAUUUUUGCACUCAUUUUUCCCUUCCCAUUAAAUAAUUUUUGUCCCAACUCUGUCCUCAUGAGGAUUACUCCAAGGUUUUGACUCCCAUUCUGACUGGGCUCAUCUCAGCCUUCUCUGUUCUCACAUUCUCCUCCCUUCAUUCUUGUUGAACAAAUGAAAUUCAGGCCUGUGGUGGCAGCUCUUUCCCAGCCUUGGAGAAGCUGGACUGGAGUGGAAAUUACCUGAAAGAAGAUUGAAACUUCUGCUGGAGCCCCAAUUACCGACCUGAUUAAUUAAUGUUCCCCCCAUCACUAAUAAAGCAAACUCAGACAAACCAUCCAACACAAAAAUUGCAUUUUCAGCUUGACUCUGCAAACCAUCCAACACAAAAAUCACAUUUUCAGCCUGACUCUGCAAUUAUCCUUUUUUUUUUUUUUUUUCUAAUUUUAUUAAAGCAUUUUUAGUGGGAAUUUGGUUUUGGGAGCCAGGCCAGGCAGAGCAAUCUGCAGGUGCUGAGCUCUGCAGGCUUUUCCUUCGAGUCAGCAAUGCCCCUUUCCCCAUCAAUCAUCCCAAAAGGAAUCUCCUCCAUCACCAUCCAUUAGUCUGCUCUGAAUUCUGCCUCCAGCCAGCAACACUUCACUCUGCUCCCAUUCUUUUUCAUUUUUAAUUUUUUAUUUUUUUUUUAAAGGUUGGAUUUGAUGGGCUUGGAGGGGUUUUCCAAGCUGAGAUGAAAGCCAAGAUUUGCAGCUUUGGGCAGCCAUAAAGAUUCAUUUCCAGGAGUAAAUGGCUUUACACAAAUAUAGGAUAUCCUAAAAGCAUCCCAUAAGUCUCAGAAAAUUCAAAUUAAUGCAGUGGAUAGAAUAAGAGUAAUGUGCAGGUUUUUAUCAAUCACAGAUAUUGCUUGGGGUUCAAAUCCAGAUUUCAGAUUUCAUCCUGACAUGAACAAAUCUGAAGGAGCAAACCCUGAAAUUUUGUAAAUGUGAGAAGAGAGAGUGGCUUUAUCAAAAAAAUUCCUUAAGCAAAGAGGAUCCUGCAGCCUGGGGAGCUCUGAAAUCCCAGGCCAGGCCCAGGAGGAAAAUGAAGUUUAAGUGAGCUAAAAAAGGUUAUUAAGGACAAUUUUCUACCUCAAAACCACAAGAAAUAAAGCAGUGAGUCUAAAUUUCUCAGUUUAAUAUGAAAUGAAUCUUUACAGCCUGGCCAUUGGUUGUUUUUUCUUAAUUUUUAUUUUUUAUUUUUUCCGUUGCCAUAUCCGAGUUUUUAUCCACUGAAACUCAGUUUAUAACAAAGUUAUCAAACCAGACACUCUGCUCCUUAAAAAGCUCUCAGAAACUGGAUUUGAGCACUAAAGGAAGAAUUCUAUUUGGGGAUUUUUAUUAUUAUCAGCAGUGAAAUGUAGAUUUCCUGAUUUCUAAUGGUUUGGCCUGGCCUGGCCGGAUGUUUAUCAGGAGAAUAAAAUCCAAGAGUAAGAGGUCUGGAUUCUAUUAAGGCUUUUCUUUCCUUCUGCUGCAAUUCCCAGGAUACACAGCAGAGAUCAAUGAUUGGAGGCUUAAGAACCACAUAUCUGAAUUAAUACAAUUUCAUUCCUCAGUUGGAUGGGGUAACAUUGAAAUAUUAAAGCUGAUAAAUGCAGUGAUUGGAGAAACAACCUGGAAAACAAGAUUUCAAAAGGGACUUUAAGGAAUGACAUCUUCAUUUUGGACAUAAAAGCCUCUUUUUCUCCCUCCUUAUUUAAGAUUUUCAGUUGGUUCCUAUCAAGCACUUCCUCUCCUCAAAGUUUAUUAAAAUGCUGAACCAAGUCUGUCUACUUGGCCCAAAUUCUGGUUUUUAUUUCCCUUGGUCUAAAUACUCAGAUUCUAUUUAGGGGGAAAGAAGUCCUGGAUAUUAUUAUUAUUGUUAUUGUUAUUGUCAUCAUCAUCAUCAUUAUCAUUAUCAUUACAAUAAAUACUCAGUUUUAUCCUGCACUAUAAUUACAAGAUUUAGAAAUUAAAAGGUUGCUGCUAUUUUUUCUACACUUUUCUCCUUUAUUUUCUGUAGAUUUCCCAUUUGUUUCUCAAUAGUGGUCAAGAGAAGGAAAUGGAAGCUUCGACACUUUUCAGAAAAUUUUAAUUUUGCUUUCAUUCUGGCUGGGAUUCAGAAAGUCAGGGAACAGAGUGGUUGUGGAGGUAUUUUUAUUUUUCUGAAAAAGCCAGGAAACACCAGAGCCUGUUCCUGUUUCUCAGACGUGACACACGCUCAGAGCCGGAGCUUUCCAACACUUCCCUCUGCAAUUCCCGACUUCUGUUUCCAGGGCAUUUUAAAGGAUUCUCCUCCCUCAAAAUACCAAUUUCAGAAUCAGUUUCUCCCCCUGACCUCCCAAGGGUGGCUCAAGGCUUUGAGUCUCCUCCACAAUCAAACAAUCCUCCAAAAUCAAACAUCGAUCCCGGUUCUUUUCUGCCUGAACGGAUUCACUGAGCUGCUCUGCUGCUUCUCCUGGGAAAAUCUCUUGGAGCCGGGGCUGGAUGGGGAGAAACUCGGGGAAAGAGGUGGGAACAGCAUCCCAGGAAGGAGAAAUUCCACGAGAGAGGUGGGAACAGCAUCCCAGGAAGGAGAAACUCAGGAAAGAAAGGUGGGAACAGCAUCCCAGGAGAGUAUCCCAGGGGAACAUCCCAGGAACACAUCCCAGGAAACCAUCCCAGGACAGCAUCCCAGAACACAUCCCAAGAAAGCAUCCCAGAAACACAUCCCAGAAACACAUCUCAGGAACAGGAUCCGAUCCCAGGAACAGGAUCCCAGGAACACAUCCCAGGAACAAAUCCCAGGAACAAAUCCCAGAACAGCAUCCCAGAAACACAUCCCAAGGAACAGCAUCCCAGGAAACCAUCCCAGGAAACCAUCCCAGGAGAGCAUCCCAGGAUCAGCAUCCCAGGAACACAUCCCAGGAACACAUCCCAGGAAACCAUCCCAGGAACACAUCCCAGGAACACAUCCCAGGAUCAGCAUCCCAGGAACACAUCCCAGGAACACAUCCCGCUCAUCCAUGCAGGAAUCAGAAUUCCCGUGCUGUGCUUUCCCUUCCCAAGCGGUUCCCUCAGGAAUUUUAGCAUCAUGCGCUAAAAACAGAUUUUGGAGUCAAUCCCAGGAUUUUACUUAAAGUCGGAUUUGGUGCAUCACCCUUCCAACUGUGAAUGUUUAGAUUUAGAGAAUUGGGGUUGGGACGGAUAAAAUAGGUCAGCGUGGCCGGGAGGAAGCGACAGAGCUCAUCGCGCUUCUCCAGGGCAAAUCCGCAUCUGGGAAAGCGAAGGAAAAACCUUAAAAGAAUAAAAUAAAUAAAUAAA